CGCCCUUGAGUUUGAUCAUGGCUCAGGACGAACGCUGGCGGCGUGCCUAACACAUGCAAGUCGAACGAAGUAUAUUUUCGGAUAUGCUUAGUGGCGGACGGGUGAGUAACGCGUGAACAAUCUGCCCUAUACACAGGAAUAGCCUCGGGAAACUGGGAUUAAAACCGGAUAACACUUUUGAGCCGCAUGGCAUGGAAGUCAAAUUGAUUUAGAGGUAUAGGAUGAGUUCGCGUCUGAUUAGCUAGUUGGUGAGGUAACGGCUCACCAAGGCGACGAUCAGUAGCCGGCCUGAGAGGGUGAACGGCCACACUGGAACUGAGACACGGUCCAGACUCCUACGGGAGGCAGCAGUGGGGAAUAUUGCACAAUGGAGGAAACUCUGAUGCAGCGACGCCGUUUUUUUUAAGAAGGUCUUCGGAUCGUAAAACUCUGUCCUUGGUGACGAAAAAAUGACGGUAGCCAAGGAGGAAGCCCCGGCUAACUACGUGCCAGCAGCCGCGG
rnacentral:rRNA from 1 species